rnacentral:tRNA from 1 species
CAAAAUGUAGCUAAAUUAGUAAAGCACCUCCCUUACACUGAGAAGCUACCCGUGCAAUUCGAGUCAUUUUGA